AUGGAGAAACAUCUACUACUGCUUGUCGUAACAGUAUCAGGAGUAUUUCCUGACAGCAUUGGACCAAAAGACAAGGAUGCUAUAAAUCAGUAAAGAAGGACAGGCUGUGACACUGAGCUGCACAUACAGGACAAUCAGCAAUGAUGUUUCGCUUUACUGGUACAAACAGUAUCCCAACUCAGAACCUCAGUAUUUACUGUGGAAAGGUGCUCGAUCAAGCAACCGUGAAGAGGAUAUACCAGAUCGACGCUUUCAGUCGACUACAUCCCAGACAUCCACUGAACUCACUAUUAGGAGUGUAACUCUGUCAGAUUCAGCUCUCUAUUAUUGUGCUCUAAGAGCAACAGCCCCCAGUGUGUUUGCUGACAGCAUUACACCAAACAAGGAGACUAAUAUGAUCAAGAGAGAAGGAGAGUCUGUGACACUGAGCUGCACAUAUGAUACAAGCAGCAAUUAUGUUUAUCUUUACUGGUACAGACAGUAUCCCAACACAGAACCUCAGUAUUUACUUCUAAAAGGAGCUCGAUCAAAUAGUGCAGAGCGUAAAACAGAUGAACGGUUUCGGCCAACUACAUCCCAAACAUCCACUGAACUCACCAUUACUGGCGUAACUCUGUCAGAUUCAGCUCUCUAUUAUUGUGCUCUAAGAGUAGCAGCCCAGUGA